GAUGAACGCUGGCGGCGUGCCUAAUACAUGCAAGUCGAGCGAACAGACGAGGAGCUUGCUCCUCUGACGUUAGCGGCGGACGGGUGAGUAACACGUGGAUAACCUACCUAUAAGACUGGGAUAACUUCGGGAAACCGGAGCUAAUACCGGAUAAUAUAUUGAACCGCAUGGUUCAAUAGUGAAAGACGGUUUUGCUGUCACUUAUAGAUGGAUCCGCGCCGCAUUAGCUAGUUGGUAAGGUAACGGCUUACCAAGGCGACGAUGCGUAGCCGACCUGAGAGGGUGAUAGGCCACACUGGAACUGAGACACGGUCAAGACUCCUACGGGAGGCAGCAGUAGGGAAUCUUCCGCAAUGGGCGAAAGCCUGACGGAGCAACGCCGCGUGAGUGAUGAAGGUCUUCGGAUCGUAAAACUCUGUUAUUAGGGAAGAACAAAUGUGUAAGUAACUAUGCACGUCUUGACGGUAACUAAUCAGAAAGCCACGGCUAACUACGUG
rnacentral:rRNA from 1 species